AUUGAACGCUGGCGGCAUGCCUUACACAUGCAAGUCGAACGGUAACGCGGGGCAACCUGGCGACGAGUGGCGAACGGGUGAGUAAUGCAUCGGAACGUGCCCAGUAGUGGGGGAUAGCCCGGCGAAAGCCGGAUUAAUACCGCAUACGACCUACGGGUGAAAGGGGGGGAUCGCAAGACCUCUCGCUAUUGGAGCGGCCGAUGUCAGAUUAGGUAGUUGGUGGGGUAAAGGCCUACCAAGCCGAAGAUCUGUAGCUGGUCUGAGAGGACGACCAGCCACACUGGGACUGAGACACGGCCCAGACUCGUACGGGAGGCAGCAGUGGGGAAUUUUGGACAAUGGGCGCAAGCCUGAUCCAGCCAUGCCGCGUGCGGGAAGAAGGCCUUCGGGUUGUAAACCGCUUUUGUCAGGGAAGAAAUGGUCUGGGUUAAUACCCUGGACUAAUGACGGUACCGUAAGAAUAAGCACCGGCUAACUACGUGCCAGCAGCCGCAGUAAAAC
rnacentral:rRNA from 1 species